AUGGCGGGAGCCACCCUGCCGGUGGAGGAGGGGUGGAGGCAGAGAACCGUGGGGUGCGGCGCUGUGCACCAUAGGGGCGCUCGGACCGGCCACAAGCCAUGGGUCGAGCACCCUGUUCACAGACGGCGCACGCGCAACAACGCCAAGGCCAUGCCCGUGGGCGUGGCGAGCACCAGGAGCGACGUGUCCGUCAACGCCGUGGCCGCGUCCAGUGGCACGGUGACCACCACGGGCGCCACGUCCAGUGGCGCGGUGACCAUAACGGCCAGCAGCACAACGGCCGAAAUGACGAACGGCCUGCAUCCUACGACGAAAACGUCGGAGACCACCAACGCCAUGGUAGCGGCGACGGUAGCGACGACCGUCCUCACGGAUCAGGCGGAGAAAGAAGGAAACAAGGCCAGGCAUCUCACUGGCGGACGCUUAUAUAUCUCCUGGAGAGACACAACGAUCCAGAGGAGGUGUCGGUUCCAGAGAGAUGCGCCGGUUGCCAGGACACAGGCGUCCGCGCGAUGCAACUGCUUGGCCGUUGGGCAAGGGGAGAUUUCCCUUUUACAGAAUUAA
rnacentral:rRNA from 1 species